rnacentral:misc_RNA from 1 species
UACGGAGGGUCUGAGCGUGAGUCGGAAUUACUGGGCGUAAAGCGCGCGUAGGCGGCGUGAUAAGCCGGCUGUGAAAGCCCCGGGCUCAACCUGGGAACGGCAUCCGGAACUGUCAGGCCAGAGUGCAGGAGAGGAAGGUAGAAUUCCCGGUGUAGCGGUGAAAUGCGUAGAGAUCGGGAGGAAUACCAGUGGCGAAGGCGGCCUUCUGGACUGACACUGACGCUGAGGUGCGAAAGCGUGGGUAGCAAACAGG